rnacentral:lncRNA from 1 species
AGAGGAAAACAAUCAAAUGGUAUUGGGUGACCACAAAAGAGCAGGAUGACUGCAGAGCGAGUACCAGACCUCUGGAAGAGAGAAAGAGAGGACAACGUGGGAGGCCACCCAACGGGAGGCUAGAGGGGCCUUUGCUGGAGAGGUGAGGAAGGGCAGAAGCCUUACGGGCUGGACAGGAGCGUCACGUGCCUCGACCGGCAGACCAGUGAGAAGGGGCGGAGCCGGAAGAGCAAGGAAAGGGCAUCGGCAAAGCAGGUGGUUGGAUCAGCUGACAGAACAGUGGGCUGGCCCAGAGGAGGCCAGAAGGUGGACAGCUGCACCCGCGUGCUAAGGAGGGCUCUGUGGUAGGUCUUGCAGUUGCGAGCUGACAGGAUGCUGUGCCUGCUCCCUUUCUUCCUUAGAACUGAGCUUCAGUUUUGUAGAAUACAGCAACAUGCCCAGCAAUAAGGCUACAUGUCCAGGGCUCCUUGGCAGGUAGAAUGGGUUGUGACCUCCUCCUGGUUACAUUUUCCCAGCAGAAGCCAGUGGAUGAAGUUUCCAGGAAGAUGUGGGGACAGGAGGAGCAUGCUCAGCUGUCCCCUUCUUCCGGCCUAGAGCACGGAGAAGACUCCAGAGAGGAGCAGGCAGUCAUUGUUCCCAGUGAAGAAAGUGGGUUCCACCGCAAGCCUAGAUCCUGACAUCCCUGAAUGCAGCUCCAGCCCCGGGGCCAGGCACCUCCCCUGCUCCUCACCCAGGAAAACUAGAACCACUGAUUGGUUUCGGCUCUGCUCCAGGCUACUUCUCCCAGCCAAACAUAGCCCCUAUCCAUAGGCGAGGUGACCUGGCGCUUGAGUCUCUCAGAGUCACUUAUCUGCUUGACCUAGAGCUCCACGCAGCAACUGUCCCUUGACAGAGCCAGGCCCUCCUCCGGGGGCCUGAAAAGCACUUUGUAGAAAUGGAGUUUCUGUUUGUCUGGGGGUUUUGCCUUGCUGAAAGCAAGCUGACCUCCGUGCACCAUGUAUGACAUGAUUAGCAGGAAGCGGCCCAGCUGGUUUUAUUGGUUUUCCUUGGGCUUUGGUCUUAGAAGGUUUCUUGCUGAGUUGAUUUCACCCUGAUAACUCCCUUUACACUCCACUUCCUAAUCCAAAAGGGCCCACAUUGGGGGUAGAGAAACAGAGAGCAAUCCUUUCCCAGCCCUCUCCUGGGGCUCCUUAGCUCUUGACUGCACUGCUGGGCUGGCUUAGCAAAAGCAAUUCGAUCUCCAGAGUUUCCUGGCCACCUUCCCUCUCUGUUGGCCUGUCGGAGAGCUCCAGCCGGUGAGUCUGUGGCCACAGGGCGUCUGAUCUCGAGGAUAGUGCCGCGCCCUUUGGUCUUGGUCUGCUGUGUGCUGUGCUCAUGAUGCUUACGUUCUGCUCCGGCCCUGAGAGCUGACAUGGCUUUGGAAAGUGAGAUUCCAGCCCACACCCAGGUGAAACUCUCCUAGCCUUUGACCUACACAGAUCUCCUCAGCCAGCGCAGGGCUUUGUACACUGGAUUCCAAGGGCCACCAUGCCAAACCUUGAUUGAAAAGAAAUGUUUGUUGCAGUGUAGCCACUCCCAGCUGAGCGGAAUGGAGAUGUAAACAGGAAGUCAGCAAAAGCAGGGCUGCUCUGCUUAGGGGGAACAGGGUGGGGAUUAUGAGAGCAGAGCGAUGCUGUUGAAAACACCUCUGGAUCAGCUGUACCCUCUCCCUAGGGGAUCCCAAGGCAACUCCUCCAAGGGAACUUGGGAUUCAGGGAACAGUUCGAAAACCACUCCACAGUUGUGUCGGCUUCAUUGGCUUUGCAAUCUGGCCUGGGACUGGCGGAGCUCUGCUCUGGGUGGGUCUGGGUGGGUCGCAGAGGUGUGGCCCCUUGUCCCCUUCCUCUGGGGCACUGUUCCCUGUUCCAUUUCCAGCUUUGCCUCUUCUGGAUCCUACACCUGUGCCUGCAGGAGCACGUGACCAGUGUCAUCCCUAGAGCUGUCCGCACCUUGGGGGUGCAGGGCACUGUUGUAGUCGUGUCCAGAGGUCAGCUUGACUUGCUCAGAUUCUUAAGGUGUCUGUUUCAUUUAAAUCAGGUCAUGUGCUUGCAUAUGUGUACUUUUUAAGUGCAGGAAUCAACCAAGAGAAUGGUGCCACAUAAAAAAGAAACACGUGCAGGGCUCCGUGGCUGCCUGUGUAGAUGCACUGUUAUGUCUGUGUAUGUGGGAAUCGUGCUUAGGGACGAGGCCGGCCUGAGGGUGUGAUGAUUUCUGGUGUCCGGGCAGCCAGGCUCCUCUGUCCUGAGGCAGUUGAUCAGAUGCAAAGACUCAGCCCGGCCCUUCAGAAAGAGGAAAUGAGAAAUGUUACAGCUGAAAGGGCCAGAGCUGAGCUGACCAUGAGUGCACACAUGAAGUAUGCUGUCAUAUCCACUGCCCAGAUUGAAAGAGACACAGGUCUGUGUGGACCAUGUGGCUUUAAACACCUUGGCCUGUUUGCUUUGACUAUGACAGCACUGCCCACCGAGGGCCACUUUCCUGUCUAAAUAGGAGAGCUAGAGACAAGGCUAAUGCGUUCAUAGGGC